rnacentral:rRNA from 1 species
AUUGAACGCUGGCGGCAUGCCUUACACAUGCAAGUCGAACGGCAGCACGGGUGCUUGCACCUGGUGGCGAGUGGCGAACGGGUGAGUAAUACAUCGGAACGUACCUUAUCGUGGGGGAUAACGCAGCGAAAGUUGCGCUAAUACCGCAUACGCCCUGAGGGGGAAAGCGGGGGACCGUAAGGCCUCGCGCGAUUAGAGCGGCCGAUGUCUGAUUAGCUUGUUGGUGAGGUAAAAGCUCACCAAGGCGAUGAUCAGUAGCUGGUCUGAGAGGACGAUCAGCCACACUGGGACUGAGACACGGCCCAGACUCCUACGGGAGGCAGCAGUGGGGAAUUUUGGACAAUGGGGGCAACCCUGAUCCAGCAAUGCCGCGUGAGUGAAGAAGGCCUUCGGGUUGUAAAGCACUUUUGUCAGGGAAGAAACAGCAGCUCUAACACAGUCUGCGAAUGACGGUACCUGAAGAAUAAGCACCGGCUAACUACGUG